CGAGCGCAUGAGUUGUGCUGGACCUGUGACUACCGGGAGGACCCCCGCUGUUGUGCGGCCGACUGCCGGUGCCAGUGUCCCUUCAAUCGUUGGCUAUUGUGUGCCUAUCGUUUUGGCGAGUGCUUGCGUGCUGCUACCAGUAACACUGGAAGUUGCAUUGCUAAAUGUUGUUUUGCCGUGCAUGCCCUUGGGGCAUGUCACGUCAACUACAAAGCGCUCAUGGCGUUGCCUCGUGUAGCUGGCCGCAUAGGCUAGCGGCAUCAAGGCCACCUCAUGGACGCUAUUGGUCUCGGAUGCGGCCCGCUAUAAAGGCUGAAGGUGCUUUGGCACCUCAUGCCUACAAAAUAUUGUCCGUUCAGAAACUACGACAGUUGGUCUGGCUGAUGCCUCGUGCGGAAGCCAGUGCU
rnacentral:misc_RNA from 1 species